AUGUAUCCAUCCCCCACUUCCUUUCGCGUGCCGGGGGAAACCCUAGGACACGUCCGGGCAGCAGCGUCGUCGACAUCGCAUCCCUUGUUGGAGGUGCUGCUUGGUACGCGGUGGGUCGGAGCCUGGGUCUAUGGUGGGUCAAUUUCGGAGGGCGCAGCGGUGGCGGGUCAUCCGCGCUUUGUCGAGUUGCCGUUGUUGGCAUUUCUUUCUUCUUCUUUGUUCUUUUUCUUUUCUUUGGGCUUGCUGUGCUUCUCGCCCGAGCAUUCCUAUGUAUCGGUGUUGGUUGCUUUGGAAUACAAAGCGGGGGAAACCCUUUUUCGGUAA
rnacentral:rRNA from 1 species